AUUGAACGCUGGCGGCAUGCCUUACACAUGCAAGUCGAACGGCAGCAUGAUCUAGCUUGCUAGAUUGAUGGCGAGUGGCGAACGGGUGAGUAAUACAUCGGAACGUGCCCUGUAGUGGGGGAUAACUAGUCGAAAGAUUAGCUAAUACCGCAUACGACCUGAGGGUGAAAGUGGGGGACCGCAAGGCCUCAUGCUAUAGGAGCGGCCGAUGUCUGAUUAGCUAGUUGGUGGGGUAAAGGCCCACCAAGGCGACGAUCAGUAGCUGGUCUGAGAGGACGAUCAGCCACACUGGGACUGAGACACGGCCCAGACUCCUACGGGAGGCAGCAGUGGGGAAUUUUGGACAAUGGGCGAAAGCCUGAUCCAGCAAUGCCGCGUGUGUGAAGAAGGCCUUCGGGUUGUAAAGCACUUUUGUCCGGAAAGAAAUGGCUCUGGUUAAUACCUGGGGUCGAUGACGGUACCGGAAGAAUAAGGACCGGCUAACUACGUGCCAGCAGCCGCGGUAAUACGUAGGGUCCAAGCGUUAAUCGGAAUUACUGGGCGUAAAGCGUGCGCAGGCGGUUGUGCAAGACUGAUGUGAAAUCCCCGAGCUUAACUUGGGAAUUGCAUUGGUGACUGCACGGCUAGAGUGUGUCAGAGGGGGGUAGAAUUCCACGUGUAGCAGUGAAAUGCGUAGAGAUGUGGAGGAAUACCGAUGGCGAAGGCAGCCCCCUGGGAUAACACUGACGCUCAUGCACGAAAGCGUGGGGAGCAAACAGGAUUAGAUACCCUGGUAGUCCACGCCCUAAACGAUGUCAACUAGUUGUUGGGGAUUCAUUUCCUUAGUAACGUAGCUAACGCGUGAAGUUGACCGCCUGGGGAGUACGGUCGCAAGAUUAAAACUCAAAGGAAUUGACGGGGACCCGCACAAGCGGUGGAUGAUGUGGAUUAAUUCGAUGCAACGCGAAAAACCUUACCUACCCUUGACAUGCCACUAACGAAGCAGAGAUGCAUUAGGUGCUCGAAAGAGAAAGUGGACACAGGUGCUGCAUGGCUGUCGUCAGCUCGUAUCGUGAGAUGUUGGGUUAAGUCCCGCAACGAGCGCAACCCUUGUCUCUAGUUGCUACGAAAGGGCACUCUAGAGAGACUGCCGGUGACAAACCGGAGGAAGGUGGGGAUGACGUCAAGUCCUCAUGGCCCUUAUGGGUAGGGCUUCACACGUCAUACAAUGGUGCAUACAGAGGGUUGCCAAGCCGCGAGGUGGAGCUAAUCCCAGAAAAUGCAUCGUAGUCCGGAUCGUAGUCUGCAACUCGACUACGUGAAGCUGGAAUCGCUAGUAAUCGCGGAUCAGCAUGCCGCGGUGAAUACGUUCCCGGGUCU
rnacentral:rRNA from 1 species